rnacentral:rRNA from 1 species
UACGUAGGAGGCGAGCGUUGUCCGGAUUUACUGGGCGUAAAGAGCGCGCAGGCGGUCGUUCAAGUCGAGUGUGAAAGCCCCCGGCUCAACUGGGGAGGGUCACUCGAUACUGAUCGACUCGAAGGCAGGAGAGGGAAGUGGAAUUCCCGGUGUAGUGGUGAAAUGCGUAGAUAUCGGGAGGAACACCAGUGGCGAAGGCGACUUCCUGGCCUGUUCUUGACGCUGAGGCGCGAAAGCUAGGGGAGCAAACGGG